rnacentral:lncRNA from 1 species
CAAAACUUUCCAUUCCAGUGUCAUCAAACGUUCUCAUUCUUAGAAGCAAACAACAAAACCUUUAAGACAAAUAAUUUUUCAUGAGUUGAUCUAGCAGACAACUCCAAGUGAUAUUUACAGUAGAGUAAAGCUGAUAAAACUUGAGCGGCGAACGAAAAAAAAUGGCUUCGACGCCUUUGACCGGAAACUCGAACAGCAACCUCGAACGACCCUAGCUAAACCUCGACUGCUGGAGUUAUUUUAUAGUUGAUUUUCAAGAUCUUUUUUCAGUAGGUAUAAGAGUGAUUUGCAGCUGGUUUACAUGGUGUUCCUCAGCCGGAUUCCUGCCGUAAAAAAUGGAGUGGAAGGUGGUCGUUUUGAAUUGUUUUUGCCGCUGCUGCGGGGCUGUUUUAGGCUAUGGUACGAGAGUCGGGAUGAGGGAGGAGAAAGAGAUGGUCAAUGGCUAAGCAUGGCGACCAGUCUGCCAGCUCGCCGGAGAAGACGCUGGUGGCGACAACUAUUUAAGCGAAAAGAGGAAGCAGCCCUUCGAAAACAAUGAGAGGGGAGAGCUUUUGGUUCUCUUUAUCUUAAUUGUCUGGCCAAUCAAGGUGUUCUAAUUGGAAGGCGUCUG